UAGUGCUUUAAAAAAUGUGGCUGCUUUGAAGGAACUGACCUGAAAAAGAAACUGUGUAUAUCUGCAGGUCGUGUUAAAAAAUAUUGACAUGUGGUAGUUGUUAGUGUGCCAUGGCCUUGCCAGGUUUCCCCAUGGACAGUGGUCUUACUCAGCUAAGCCAGGAUUUGGUCAGGAGGACAGCCAGUUCCCUUACCACUCUCUGCCCUUCUUCCUGCCCCCAGGGCAAUCAGAUCUCUCGCAUCUGUUUGAGCUGGGCUGCCAGACAUUUGAGCAUUUUUAGUAUUGGGGGAAGACUGCCUGUUACUAGGAUGUUGCUGGCUUGGUGUAGCCCAGGGAUUUUCAAUCUCAGCAAGGUUGACGAUUGGGCAAGGUGAUUGUUGUGUGGGGCUGUCCUGUGCAUUGCAGGAUGUUGAAUAGUGGACCUUUGCUUACUAGAUGCAAUUAGCACUUACACUCUUCCCCAGAUUGUGCUGACAGCAACAAAACAGUCUCCAGACAUUGCAAAAUAAUUAUGGUGGUGAACUGCUGGUAUAGAGUGACCCAUCCGUUCUGCUGGCUGGCCUGGGGCUGUGGCAAGGACAGUAACUCCUAGCCCCAUCUGCUUGAAA
rnacentral:lncRNA from 1 species